AAAGGUAAGCAAGUUUGGCCCUUGCGCGCAUUCUUGAACUUAUGAUUUACGUAAUGAACGUUGUGUAACUAGCUAGAGCAACGCGCUUUCUGAUCGUAGGUUGGCCGUCUUGCUGUGCACAUUUAGCAAACAAUUUCACGAAGCCUUCCUCUGAUGUUACAGCGUACUUGCAUUCUGCUGUAAAAUAUAUGCUACCCGCCUUGAUUGCUAUGCCUGAAUGGGCACACAAUUAUGAAAACACUGAAAGUUGCUGUUCGUUCGGUAGUUUUCUGGCAAGAAGUUAUUCGUUAUAUAUUCAUUCCCGCAAGUACAGUACAUGUGUAAUGUAUCCGUCGAUGUAUCAUGGGCUUCGCGCGUUGGCACACGAUUCCUAUGUUUGACGCUUAAGCAGAUAGAAGCUUGUAUGAAGAUUUUUCUAUGUAUACAGUUUGGUUUGGAUGACCACGUCGCGAGAACCUGUGUAUUGUUUAUGUUCUUGAGUGUCUUCGCGUAUUUGUCUUCUAUGUUGCAGACCCGACAUAGGCCGAUAUUACAGUAACGAAGUUUAUUUUUAAUCGAGACAUUUCAGAGACCGGCCUUUAAGAAAGACAUAGACCAACCAAUUCUUACGAACGGGAUGCCAGCUCUUGCAAUCGUAGGUUAUACGGCAGUGCGUAAUAAAGUAAGGACUGCGAUUUUGUAGCGAUACUUACCCCUCGAUUCUAUACCACUCUUGUCGCCCACCGCAAACGGCCGGCUGUUCCAGUACGUAGCACGGGCCGGGGCGACGGUCAAACCACUAACGAAUAACGAAAAGGAAUAGCAUCGCUACAAAAUCGCGAUCUAGCUUUCAGAAUGCUUUUCAUGUGCUUAAUAUUUUUGUUUAAUCCAAUGCGCCACGUUUUACUGCAUAUUUGAGUUUUGUUUUUGAUUGUCCUGGUAGCCUGUUGUUGCUGAUUUCGUUCCUUCCUGAAACUUCGCUUGUUACAAAAUAUCAGUGUAACCUCCUUAGAUAUAACAAAGAGACAUUUGUGCAACCAGACGCAAAUUCAUGCAGCUGGCUGUGUGAGGCUCUCUUUGCAAUUCCACAUGACACUGGUAAAUCACAAAUUCCCAGGUUCACAACACAAUAAAUUAAACAUUUCUUACUUUUGAAGGCUAUGCGGAUUCUGGAGGCAUCCCUACAUCAAGCAGGAACCUGCUGCACUGCUGGAAGCUGGACAGCACGACAAUAAAGCACGUGAUCUGUGUGCUUUCUCAAAGGUAGACAUCGGCGACGGUGUAUAUGUUGAAAAGUGCCUGCUGAAGAGGCUGCGCCUGGAUGCUAACAACUCAGGCUUUCAGUUCGCGGGGGGCCUCCUUAAGGCUCCUUUUACAAAAGAAGAGGUUGAAGGGAGGCGCUACACAUGGAUGCGCAGCGAUUGUUUGUGACAUCGUCACUGCUGGCAGGCCUGGCCUGCCUUUUCGCUUCGUUCUGGGUCUUCCACGUUAUCUACUCGAAAACGCCCACAGGGUUUUGACAUUUAUUGAGCACUGCUUUCUGGAUUUGAGCUACACAAAGCUGCAGGUGAAAGCAUUGGAUUUAGUCAAUAUUUACUAGAACUAUUGCUAGGCAAAAAAAUUUUCAGAUGCAUAUCCUCAAGAAAGUUUCUGUAAAAAUUAUUUUGCCUAACAAAAGCACUCGUGGGUUCUGUGGCUGGCAGCUUGCCCAAGCCAUGUAGCACAGUGCUUGCUUUAAAGGGACACGAAAGGGAAAAUUUAUUUGAGCGUUAUUAAAUCAUUUUUCUACAACACCGAAAAAACAACUCCCUCUAAGAGAAUUGGCUUGAUAAGCCAGAUAACUUGCAAAAACGAAAACUGGUGUCGCCACCACCACCUUAUAAUUCCUGCACCAGCUCGCUGUGAUAUGGAAUUUGACGGUGUCUGUUCGGGUCUAGCUAAUGUUCUACUGGCCAAUAUUGAUGAAUUCUGUUGUAAAGGUGUCAAAGAAUAUACUUAGUUGAAGUAUGACUCCACACUGAUGUGCGGGCACUGCAUAAAACUUGAAAGUUAAAUCUUCAUUUUCUCAUCUAUUAAUCCGCUUAUUGCCACAAUGUUCAUGAAUACAGUUCUGAAAGAUUGUUUUAUCAGUCUAAAAUCAUUUAUUGUUUCUCUUUAGUAUCUCUGUAAUGGACUUUUAGCAACAAAAUGUGUGUUAGUUUGCGACAGGUAUUCUCAGCGGGGGCAAGAGCACCAGCAGCAUGCUCAGUGAUUCUGUACCAACUGAUAAUUUGAAGGAUGUCCUGUGCCACUAGGGUUAGGCCAACAUGGCUCUGUGUUAAUCACCACAAGUGUAUUAUGCAAAACUUAAUGGCCCAGAAAUUGGUAAUUCAGGGGGGAGUUGAAUUAGCUGUUUAUUUUUUUUUUUCUUUAUCAUGGACUUCUCACAUUACACUUUGUCACAACGCAUUCACUUUAAAGUAACUGGAGAAUAAGGUGGUUUGGUAUUCAGACAUGCCUUCUGUGUGUAAACAGUGUUAGAUGAGCAAUACAAAGAUACACCAUAGAUGCUGACUGGCAACAUGAAGGGGUUUGAGGGCAGCUACGAAUAUACAUCCUUGUAGUCGUACCUAUAGCACUAUGUUCAAUUUGUCACACAAGCAUAUUGCAUCCAUCACAACUGCAUGCCUAGAAAAAGACAAGGGCAACACACUCAAUUACCUUUUAUUCUAUCUAAGAAGCACUACAAUAUUUAGGCAACGAAAUUGACAUCUGGCUUGUACCCAUAAGUACUGCAAUACAGUUGUAUAACAUGUUCCUCUUGUGUGGAAAAAGGGCUGCAUACGUUUUCUUUGAGCACAAGGGGGAGUGGUAUCAGUUAAAGCCCCUCCAUCCACGCGCCACUGCCGCUUUCUUAAGUAGCGACAACCUUUGUUGUACGCCGCCUUUUCCCCUGACAUCAAAUCCGGUUCCAGCAUUUCCAGUUUCAAAGUUUCCGGUUCCGGCGUUACCGCUUCCUGGAGUUGUGCUGCGGGAAUUUCCGCUUUGACUGCCGAUGGUGAGAUGCCCACGCGUGCUUAGCAGAGCUGUGGUAGUCACCAUGAGAAGAAUGCAAAGGCGACAAGCUGUUGUAUUCCGCUGAAGUAGUAAUUCUCGGUCGCUGUUUUCUAAAUGCAUGAAAAAUGGCAGUGGUCUCCAAGCGCCCAGGCACUACAUUCCACUGUACGUUGUCUCGUGGCACAACCCGUCGCAGGUUGACGCGAAACAGCGAACACGAUCAGAUCGCUGGUUACAAUAGGCGGUGGUACUUGGAUGGAAUCGCAUUCACAGUUUAAACCGCAGCUGGUGCAAUUAAAGCCUCUCCAUCGACGCGAAAGUAAACAACGUUAAGAAAAACAUAGCGUUACUUCCACUCGGAACAGGAAGCUGCAGCUACGGAAGUUCCGCUUGACGCCGGAAGCUAAGGGGGCGAGUGGCAGAGGAACGUGGAGGAAGAGGGUAGGUUGGCGGUACGUAACCUGGUUGGCGGAAACGUGUAUGGAGGGGCUUUAGUAUCAGUUAAUGGCUGUUUUCACAUAUAUGUUUUGUCGUGUGUAUUAGCAAUCACCACUUUCCUUAUCUGAGUGAGGUCAUUUUUUAGAAAGUUUGAAAGUUUAUAGAACAUGUUGCUCAUGGUUGUUGCAGUUUUCUUCCUAACUAUCCAUUCAUUGCACUGUGCACCCAUGUCUUGGGCAACUAGCUGUUUGAAGGUCAGCAUGCUAUCGAUGGGUCUAAUGAUAAUCUCUAGUGCCCUCUCAUUUGCUUGUUGCAAUACUUAAGAGUUAGAUUUUGUAUAUUGUGUCACUGGUUUAUUUUCACUGUACUUUAGUUUCACUACAUCUUGAAUGUGUUGUGAUAGUUUUUCUUUUGCAAUGAAAGAUAUGGUGGGCAGUUGCCGACACUAAUGUUUCGCUGGGCAGUAAUGGUCAUUAGCAGCAGAUGCUAGCUGCCCUUAAGUGCAAUGUUUUUAUGUUGCAUAGUAUUGUUCAUGAUCCAUUGAAUGCACUGCACGCACAUGUUGUGGACAACUGCCUGUUUGAAGAAAUUAUCUGCAUAUUCAGUGGGUCUAAUGUGAACAUCUCUACUACUGACUUAGCUUCACUACAUCUUGAAUGUGUUGUGAUAGUUUUUAUUUUGCCGUGACAGAUGUGGUGGGCAGUUGCCGGCACUAAUGUGAUAGUACGAAUGCUUGCUGUAUUUACCACAUGGUUGUUUCAUUUCGUCUGAGGCAGUAGUGGCCGUUAGCAGCAGAUGUCAUAUGGCCUUAAGUGCAAUAUUUUUGUGUUGCAUAGUUUUGUCCAUAAUCAUCCAUUGAAUGCACUGCAGACCCAUGUUCUGGACAACUGCCUGUUUGAAGGAAUGAUCUGCAUAUUCAGUGUGUCUAAUGUGAACAUCUCUAGUACUGCCUGUGUAUUUGUGAGUUAGAUUUUGUAUUGUGUGUCAUUUUGUUUUCGCUGUGCUUUAGUUUCACUACAUCGUGAAUGGGUUGAUAGUUUUCCUUUUGCAGUGAGAGAUAUGAUGGGCAGUGGCCGGCACUAAUGUGAUAGUACGAAUGCUUGCUGUAUUUACCACAUGGUUGUUUCAUUUUGUCUGGCGCAGGAAUAGCCGUUAGCAGCAGAUGCCAUUUGACCUUAAGUGCAAUAUUUUUAUGUUGCAUAGUUAUGUUCAUACUAAUCCAUUGGAUGCACAGCACACCCAUGUUCUGGACAACUGCCUGUUUGAAGGAAUGACCUGCAUAUUCAGUGGGUUUAAUGUGAACGUCUCUAGUACUGACUGUAUAUUUAUCAGUUAGGUUUUAUAUUGUAUGUUGCUUGUUUUCACUGUAGGCUGCUGAGCACGAGGUCGCGGGAUCGAAUCCCGGCCAUGGCGGCCGCAUUUCGAUGGAGGCGAAAUACGAAAACACCCGUGUACUUAGAUUUAGGUGCACGUUAAAGAUCCCCAGGUGGUCGAAAUUUCCGGAGUCCUCCACUACGGCGUGCCUCAUAAUCAGAAAGUGGUUUUGGCACGUAAAACCCUAUAAUUUAAUUUUUUUUUUUCACUGUACUUUAGUGGGAUUGCACAUUGAAUGUGUUGUGAUGUAUUUUAUUUUGCUAUGAGAGAUCUAAUGGGCAGUUACCAGCCCCCGGUCUUUGUAUUAGUACAAAUAUUUAUUAUGCUUAUCACAGCAUUUUGUAAGGCUAUAGUUUUGUGAUGAUUAACUCAUGCCUGACUUUUUUAUGAGAAACAUGUCACAACUAAUAAACAAUCACUCAUGCUUGGGAUCCAUGAAA